rnacentral:rRNA from 1 species
ACCUGCGGAAGGAUCAUUACUGAGUGCGGGCUGCCUCCGGGCGCCCAACCUCCCACCCGUGAAUACCUAACACUGUUGCUUCGGCGGGGAACCCCCUCGGGGGCGAGCCGCCGGGGACUACUGAACUUCAUGCCUGAGAGUGAUGCAGUCUGAGUCUGAAUAUAAAAUCAGUCAAAACUUUCAACAAUGGAUCUCUUGGUUCCGGCAUCGAUGAAGAACGCAGCGAACUGCGAUAAGUAAUGUGAAUUGCAGAAUUCAGUGAAUCAUCGAGUCUUUGAACGCACAUUGCGCCCCCUGGCAUUCCGGGGGGCAUGCCUGUCCGAGCGUCAUUGCUGCCCAUCAAGCCCGGCUUGUGUGUUGGGUCGUCGUCCCCCCCGGGGGACGGGCCCGAAAGGCAGCGGCGGCACCGUGUCCGGUCCUCGAGCGUAUGGGGCUUUGUCACCCGCUCGACUAGGGCCGGCCGGGCGCCAGCCGACGUCUCCAACCAUUUUUCUUCAGGUGACCUC